rnacentral:rRNA from 1 species
UGCCAGCCGCCGCGGUAAGACGGAGGGGGCUAGCGUUGUUCGGAAUUACUGGGCGUAAAGGGCGCGUAGGCGGAUUAGUAAGUUGGGAGUGAAAGCCCGGGGCUUAACCUCGGAACUGCUUUCAAAACUGCUAGUCUUGAGUGAAGUAGGGGAUGAUGGAAUUCCUAGUGUAGAGGUGAAAUUCUUAGAUAUUAGGAGGAACACCGGUGGCGAAGGCGGUCAUCUGGACUUCAACUGACGCUGAGGCGCGAAAGCGUGGGGAGCAAACAGGAUUAGAUA